AUGACGACAGGCCGGUCACAAUACAUCGCUCUCUACCCGGGCUUCAGGGCCCUCAAGCUGCCCUACAGGAACGACGGCGACCAUGUGCAGCGGCAAGCUGCUGCAUUCUACAUGCUUAUCCUUCUCCCAGACAGCGGCACUCUAAGCAUCACGGAUCUCUACGACAAGGCGGUGUCGAUGCCGGAGUUCUUAAGGAAGCACACGCCGGAAGAGGAAGUUCCGGUGGGGCAGUUCAUGGUGCCCAAGUUCAAGUUCACGUCUGAAUUUGAGGCGUCCCCGGACAUGCAGAAGCUUGGUGUCACCAGGGCUUUCUCAGGCGGCGACUUCUCAGGCAUGGUGGGCGCUGGGGAUGGACGGCUCUCCAUCGGCGCGGUCUACCAUAAGGCCACCAUCGAGGUGGACGAGCAAGGCACCGUGGCCGCUGCUACCACGGCCAUAGUCAUGAUGUAUGGUAGUGCGCGUCCAAGCAAACCACCGCGUCUGGUCGAUUUUGUGGCAGAUCGUCCGUUCUUAUUUGCCGUGGUCGAGGAGAAGGCGAGCACAACAUUGUUCCUCGGUCAUGUGGUCAAUCCUCUUGCUAACUGA
rnacentral:rRNA from 1 species